rnacentral:rRNA from 1 species
AUUGAACGCUGGCGGAAUGCUUUACACAUGCAAGUCGAACGGCAGCACGGGUGCUUGCACCUGGUGGCGAGUGGCGAACGGGUGAGUAAUGCACCGGAACGUAUCCAAUAAUGGGGGAUAACGCACCGAAAGGUGUGCUAAUACCGCAUACGCCCUGAGGGGGAAAGCGGGGGAUCGUAAGACCUCGCGUUAAUGGAGCGGCCGAUGCCGGAUUAGCUAGUUGGUGAGGUAAAGGCUCACCAAGGCGACGAUCCGUAGCUGGUCUGAGAGGACGACCAGCCACACUGGAACUGAGACACGGUCCAGACUCCUACGGGAGGCAGCAGUGGGGAAUUUUGGACAAUGGGCGCAAGCCUGAUCCAGCCAUUCCGCGUGAGUGAAGAAGGCCUUGGGUUGUAAGGUACUCUUUCGUCAAGGAAGAAACUUAAUACUACCUAAUACGAGGUGAGGUUG